rnacentral:lncRNA from 1 species
AGCGAGCGAGCUGAGGAGGAAAGUAAACAAUUUAAGUUCACCCUAAAUUAAGCUCUUCCUUUAAAUUUCAAGAGUAUAUUUAAGCAAAGCAGAUUAAUUUUUCUGAAGAAAAGAAAGAAGAGGACAAAGAAAAAGUAAACUUGGAGGAAACUGCAGAGAGGGCAGCAGAGCCCCAGGCGUGAGACACGGAGUGAAGGAUGAGCUGGCAGCCAGGCUGUUCCUCCUGCAGGACCAGCGCAGAUCAGGAGCCGGACGCAGACCCCAGCCCUGCUGCUGGAGCUCCUCAGGACCUGUUGUCAAAGUUAAAUUAGAGACAGUACUUUUUUUUUUUUAACAUUAAUGCAUAUUAUCUAAUUAUAUGUAUCAUUAUUCUUAAGCACAUAUUGAUCUAAUUCAAAGUUUCAGUUAAGAAUUCUGAGCAUUGAUUAUACUUUUAUAAACCAUCUGAUAAUAGGUAAGGUAGGGAAAAAGUCUAUCUGAUGAGGUUAAUUUUUCAUUUCUGAACAAAGUCAGAGCAAAAUUUGAGGAGAGGGAGGGGCAUUCCAAACUGCAAUAAUAAAAAUAAUAAAGAGCAAUGGUAGUUACAUAAAUAUAUGCAAAUGUUUUCAUAUGAAAUUUUUGAUAUUUUAAAAGUUAAGAACCAUUUAUCUUCAUCAUAAUUAUGUUAAAUCUUCCAGGUCACUUGAUAAAUGAUCAAAUGUAGUAUGUUAUUAAGUCGUUCUUUUGGGGCCAUUCAUGAGUGCCUUGAAGACCACAAUCAUUUCCGGGCUCCCAGUGGGGAGCCGUGUCUCCAUGAGGCAGGUAGAGAACCAACCUGAAGACCAUCCCACCACACACAAGGCCAACCCCCUGCCAUAAAACCUAACAGAGACGAAAGAUUAAGAAAUGAUGUCACAGCCACAAGACACCACACCUAUGAAACACAACGUUUCAAAGAAUUAUUCCCACUUGUCUGUAACUGUGCACGUGUUAAACCACAAAAGAAAACAGAAACUAGAGCCACUUCUACUCACACUUGAAGUUCACAAAUAGUGUCAAGUUAAUUUUUUUGUGCUUCAGAUUGCUUUUGCUAAAGAGUGCUCUUUUUUCUUUUACUUUCUCUUUUCUUUUUACUUAUUACGAAUUACAGCGUAUAUUCCUAGGAAUGUAAUGUCUAG